rnacentral:misc_RNA from 1 species
GAUGAAGAACGCAGCGAAAUGCGAUAAGUAAUGUGAAUUGCAGAAUCCAGUGAAUCAUCGAAUCUUUGAACGCACAUUGCGCCCGCCAGCAUUCUGGCGGGCAUGCCUGUUCGAGCGUCAUUUCAACCCUCGACCUCCCUUUGGGGAAGUCGGCGUUGGGGACCGGCAGCACACCGCCGGCCCUGAAAUGGAGUGGCGGCCCGUCCGCGGCGACCUCUGCGUAGUAAACCAACUCGCACCGGAACCCCGACGUGGCCACGCCGUAAAACACACAACUUCUGAACGUUGACCUCGAAUCAGGUAGGACUACCCGCUGAACUUAAGCAUAUCAAUAAGCGGAGGA